ensembl:lncRNA
GGGCCGUGAUGGCGCUGGCCACCUCUGGAACCUGAUUGGUCAACUCAGGCGCCACCCCAGUUGAUUGACAGCUUACUGUACGUCUCGUUGAAAGAAGCGCAUUGUCGAAAGACAAACGUAGAUUUAACAUCUUUGAAAACACGAAUGGACCCAGAGGACAUACUUUAAAUUCCUGAUUGUGAAGUAAGUUUUCAGGUGGUUUCCUGGUGAGUAACUGUUUUAAACUAGAAGAGAUUUUGUCCCCAAUAGAUGAACUGUGCCAGUAAGCUAACCGUUAGCCUGCUCGCACAGUAUGUUAGCGGCUAACGUUAUGAAAGGCUAUAACCGUUAACGUUAGCAUGAAGCUACGUAGCAUUAGAUAAGGAUGAUGUGGGGAAACCAGGUCAUAGUUAGUUUUUCAGUAAAGCUAUUUACGGACCUUGAAUCAACUGAGUUGGCAAUAAUUUCAUGCUAGAGCUCAAAAUAAACAGUAUGAAUGCUAAGAGAUGAGCUCAAUGUCCAUGUAGCUUGUUUGCUAUUGUAAAAGUCUCAAAUGUAGAGAAUUGACUGAGCGCUGACUAGUCUACAUGGUCCAGUUGAAUUUUACAGUUUCUAGGCUGGUACUUGAUUUAAAACUAUUAGACAGAUGAUGAAUAUAUGCAUCUCCUUACACUGUCACUCAUCAAAUACAUAUAUUUUUGAGAUACGAAAAGUAUUUUCCUAAGUUGUAAUCAGUUUACCUGCACAUCUAGCGGACCAAAGACCCCAAAAGCACACCUUCCUUCUCUUCACCUCGCUCUCACCAUCCGAUGUUGAAGACCUGGCUUUCCAGAGGAUGCACAUUCGCCAUGGUUGCCUCAGUGACCCUGAGGUCAAAGAGGGAAUCCUGUACAGGUAACCAUGUUCCAGGUAAAGGAGCAAGGGUCCCCACCUGGCUGUCAGUAAGGGGGACUUCACAACAGGAGGGGUAUCAUUUCCAUCAGUCACAGUGGAUUAAUGGAACACGUGUAUCCUGUGAACUGUUCCCAGGCCAGAGAAUGACCGACAGAGUUCUCCUGCUCCUGUUCUCGUGCUUCUCUCUUCUGGACAAACUCCAUCCACAAUCCAAACACCACCCACUGCUGUGCCCGAGUCUCAGUCCUAGUCUCAACCAGCCAGACCUAAAGCAAUCCACAGGCUGCAGAUUCUGCCCCAAGGGAGCGUGGAACCUCCGAUUCAAUUGGUUUAAAAGCGGUAAUCCAAGCUCCCGGGAAGCUGAGGCUGGAGGAUCGUCUGAGAUCAGGACCUCUGAGCUGCAUCCUGGAGAAGCCCGGGACCAGCAGGUUGUCUAAGCACGGGUACACCGGCCCAGGACGGAGACGGAGCAGGUCAAAGCCCCCGUGCCGCUCAGUAGUGGGAUCCCGCCUGUGAAUAGACGCCGUAGUGCAGCCUAGGUAACACAGCGGGACCCAGUCUUUAUACUGUUCAACACACACGCUCAACAACAACGUCUUUAUAUGUUACAGCAGCUUCAUCACUGCUCAUUUAAAUCCUUGUUUCCAUCAAAAACCUCCACAAACCAGCUGUUUGUUUGUCCUACACCGCCUCCACCUGGAUGAGAGGAGCAGUAAGCAUCAGUCACACAAACAACUAACAGGGUAUUCUCUCAGUCACUGAAUCAACUUCGACUUCGACUUGAUGGAGAGGAGAAAAUACAUACUUUUACUGUCUUUGUCUAAUAUCUAUCUUUUUGUGAGGUUGGUGGUGUGUGGGUGUGUGUGUAUGUGUCAUUUCUUUAUUCAUUAUGAACUGCUUCAUUUUUCUGAAACCAUUAGUCAACAUUAAAUAUCAUUACUGACUGGUCAUUCUUGUUGCUUGUUCCAACAUUCAUUUGUACUCCAUUUUAUAUAUUUGUAUUUAUUUGAUCUAUUUACAAGAUUCUUCUCUAUUGUAAUGUCAUUUGUAAUGUUAUUUUGGAGCUAAACACCAAAGACUCUCACUGAUAUGAUGAAUCAUGGCAAACUGUCACACCGCCACGGUUCACUGGGAGAAUUAUACAUCACAGAUAUUAAUGUGAUCAGUAACACCUGUCAGGUGUCAGACAGCUCAAAAUGUCUGCUGUAAAAAAAUAUUAGUAAGUGUUAGUUAGUAGGUCAAUAAAAACAGUUACGUCUCAUUUCACAAGAAGCCAUCAGGUUGGUAUAGGGAAAUGCUAUGCAACAACACAAACGGGUCAAGAUGACCCAAAAGCUAGUAUCAUAUUCACAGGGUAAACUGCAAGGUCGACUCGGCAUUAUUUUAAUGUCAUAUCCAAAAUCUUGCCACCACAAAAUUACAAAAAAAUGAACUAUUUCCCUCAGGUACGAGUCCGACCUAUUUUCAGGUUCUUUAAACGCACUAAGUGCUGUAGCCGUGCGUCAUGACUGUGCUACAUGAUAUAGUAGCUGCGUUGUCGUUGCUAGAGGACAUUGCCAAUGCGCAACUUAGCUGACAGUUACCUUUUUUUCAGUGAUUGUUCAAACUCAUUACAUAUUGUACAGGUACAAUAUUUAAGCAUCGCACCUGUACGACCACGGCCAAAAACUCGUUUCACAUUAUACAGAAAAAAAUAGGAUCUAAUUUCACCACCACCACUUCUACCGCUAUACUACCAUCCAGCUCAAUCAGAUCUACUCUACCCAGAGUCAACCAAGCGGGAUCCUAUAGAUCAACCUGCUAUGGGCAGGCUCUGAGGAGUGACUGAGAGCCGGGCUAGCGGGAGUAGCUUCAGUGAAAUCAUUUC